UGCUCCAUCAGCCUCACAGAGAACCUCCCACUUAAGAUGCUUUCAGAAAUGCCAAAAAUCAGAGACAUAAGGACCUUCCCAUGUUUAUAAGAACAGAUCCAGAAAGAUGAGGACUGACCUGGGCGUUUUUAUUCACCUCUAUGAAAGUAGAAGAGACACUUUGUAAAAACUGAGCUCCAGAGACACCCGGGCGGCUCAGUCAGUUAAGCGUCCAACUUUGGCUCAGGUCAUGUUUAAAAGAAAUAAUACCUAGCUGCCUGAGAUCGCACAGCUAAGAACUAUCAGAGCCCAGAUUCAAGCCCAAGCUAUCGGCUCCAGGUCCCACACGCACAGCCACUAUUUGAUAAGUCAUUUCAGCAAUCUUCACAGAAGGUUCAUCAGAAAUAAUUCCAUCUCAGGAAACCACUUUCUCUGCUUAACCAUAAGAAGCAACUCUUCAUCCGUUCAAGUUGGAUCAUGAGAAUGCUGUAACUCAGCCCUGUCUUCAGGCUCCACUUCCAAUUCUAGUUCUCUUGCUAUGCCCACAAACCUUCAUUUGUAAGACACGUAGUAUCUGUGAAGUGCAAUAAAGUGAAGCGGAAUAAAACAAA